rnacentral:rRNA from 1 species
GUGAGGAAUAUUGCGCAAUGGAGGCAACUCUGACGCAGCCAUGCCGCGUGCAGGAAGAAGGCGCUACGCGUUGUAAACUGCUUUUAACCGGGAAGAAACCCCAGGACGUGUCCUGGGUUGACGGUACCGGAGGAAUAAGCACCGGCUAACUUCGUGCCAGCAGCCGCGGUAAUACGAAGGGUGCAAGCGUUAUCCGGAUUCAUUGGGUUUAAAGGGUGCGUAGGCGGAGCGUUAAGUCAGUGGUGAAAUCCUGCAGCUUAACUGUAGACUUGCCAUUGAUACUGGCGCUCUUGAGUGCGCUUGAAGUGGGCGGAAUGUGCCGUGUAGCGGUGAAAUGCUUAGAUAUGGCACAGAACACCAAUUGCGAAGGCAGCUCACUAAGGCGAUACUGACGCUGAGGCGCGAAAGCGUGGGGAGCAAACAGGAUUAGAUACCCUUGUAGUCC